rnacentral:rRNA from 1 species
CCUACGGGAGGCAGCAGUGGGGAAUAUUGGACAAUGGGGGGAACCCUGAUCCAGCCAUGCCGCGUGUGUGAAGAAGGCCCUCGGGUUGUAAAGCACUUUCAGUGAGGAAGAACGCCUGGUGGUUAAUACCCAUCAGGAAAGACAUCACUCACAGAAGAAGCACCGGCUAACUCCGUGCCAGCAGCCGCGGUAAUACGGAGGGUGCGAGCGUUAAUCGGAAUUACUGGGCGUAAAGCGCGCGUAGGUGGCUUGAUAAGCCGGUUGUGAAAGCCCCGGGCUCAACCUGGGAACGGCAUCCGGAACUGUCAAGCUAGAGUGCAGGAGAGGAAGGUAGAAUUCCCGGUGUAGCGGUGAAAUGCGUAGAGAUCGGGAGGAAUACCAGUGGCGAAGGCGGCCUUCUGGACUGACACUGACACUGAGGUGCGAAAGCGUGGGUAGCAAACAGGAGUAGAUACCCCAGUAGUC